rnacentral:rRNA from 1 species
UACCCUUGACAUGUCCGGAAUCCUGCAGAGAUGCGGGAGUGCUCGAAAGAGAACCGGAACACAGGUGCUGCAUGGCUGUCGUCAGCUCGUGUCGUGAGAUGUUGGGUUAAGUCCCGCAACGAGCGCAACCCUUANCAUUAGUUGCUACGCAAGGGCACUCUAAUGAGACUGCCGGUGACAAACCGGAGGAAGGUGGGGAUGACGUCAAGUCCUCAUGGCCCUUAUGGGUA